ACUGUUUCAAUGUUGUGCAUUCUGCCUCGCAGAUCAGUGUUUUUAGAAGUGCCUGGAUGUCUUCUAAGCCAUACUGAACUGCUUCAAACAGCAUUCUUCUAAGAAAUCCUGUAUUGAAGAGGGAUCCUGACCUACAAUACAACAAAACCAUAGAAUGAGUGCCCACCGAGAGGGGUUUUUUCUGGAACCUUGACAAUAACCACAGAACUUUUUCAAACAGCACAAAUCUCUUCUGGAGUGCAAUGGGUAACAUUUUAGUGAGAAGAGACUCAAAAAGAAUACUUACCACAACGGUCCCAGUUCAACUGCUGUCUUCCCAGUCAUUUGGUUAUGGCAGUCACAUGGAAGCUGCCAAUAAGGAUUGUCUGUGAAAAAGAAACAGUAAAACAUAUUUCUUCUAGACUGAGUGAUACAUAAUUUAUGAAUGUUAUGGAAAUUGAAAUGCUAAUAAAUUAAAAGCCGUUAUAAUUACAAAAGUAAUUUGUUCUGGCUGUUUAACUAAACGCUAUAAUUUCAGAAAUGGGUGAAUUAAUCCCUCUAGGCAUGCAUAAAACAUGAGCUUAUAUUACAGCUUACUUCCUCUGAUUCUACUUCCUAAAUUUGAUGGAGAGCUGAAGUUCAAGUGUAAUAAUAGCAUUAGCACUUGAACAAUGAGACUGAAGUUUGAGUCAAAAACUUAGGUUUUGAUUUUGAUCCAAUCAUUGUAACCUGCCUUAUGGCACUACGAGAUACUAGUUUAUUUCAGUAAAUUUAAGCCAGAUGCUUUUCUCUAAGAAGCGCUCCAUGGAACAGGCAAAUUCAAGUCCUGGGGAAUCAUUAAUCAAUUCUAUAUGCCUACUUAGUAUGUUUUACAAAUAUCACCUGAAGUUAAGUCCAAGUAAUUGUGUCCAUGAUUACAGCCUUCCUAUACAAUAAGUAGUUCUUAUUUCUCAUGAAAACAAUUUCAAUAUUGUUUUCAAUUAUUAGCUCAUUAAUUUUAUUCUUAUUUAUGCUGUUGCUAUUUCUCAUUGUUAAGAGCUUUCUGUUGCAAAAAGAGGAAGGGUACAAAUAAAAUUUAUGCAGGUCUACCAUCUAGGUUCUAAAUCAGCAUUGUACCGAAAUAAUCAUCUGCACAGAAUUUGAGAAUAGAUUACUAUUGAACAAACAAACACCACAAUAGGCAGGUGCUGUGGUGAUUUUGUUUUCAUUAACUGAACCACCCUGAGAACUAGCUGAAAUUAGAAAAUAGAUUACCUUCUAUCAUGUUGCCUUCUCUUUUGAAUAUCCUCUCUU